GGAAUAUUGGACAAUGGGCGAAAGCCUGAUCCAGCCAUGCCGCGUGGAUGAAGAAGGCCCUAGGGUUGUAAAGUCCUUUCGGCGGGGAAGAUAAUGACGGUACCCGCCGAAGACGCCCCGGCUAAUUUCGUGCCCGCAGCCGCGGUAAUACGAAAGGGGCUAGCGUUGUUCGGAAUUACUGGGCGUAAAGCGCACGUAGGCGGCUUGGUAAGUCGGGGGUGAAAUCCCGGAGCUCAACUCCGGAACUGCCUUCGAAACUGCUAGGCUAGAGGAUGCGAGAGGUUGGCGGAAUUCCGAGUGUAGAGGUGAAAUUCGUAGAUAUUCGGAAGAACACCAGUGGCGAAGGCGGCCAACUGGCGCAUUUCUGACGCUGAGGUGCGAAAGCGUGGGGAGCAAAC
rnacentral:rRNA from 1 species